rnacentral:lncRNA from 1 species
CGUCUAGUCGACGACCAUAUCAUGACCCAAAGAUAGCAGUGAUUUUCGAGUCGGCGGCCAUAUGAACCAUACAUAGCAGCGAGCAUCCAGCGAACGACCAUAUAAAUUAAUGAUUGAAAAGAAAAUUCAUGAGGUGUCACCGGCAAUAGAACCUACAACCCACAAAGUAAAACCUGCCACCAGUGGCAAGACGGCAAGACUAAUUAAAGCUUGAAAAGAAAAUUCAUGAGGUGUCACCGGCAAUAAGAAUCUACACCCCACAAAGUAAAACCUGCCACCAGCGGCAAGACGGCAAGACUACCGAGCAAAGAAAUUCUGUAAUUCUAAUGAAACCAAGAUCUUAAGCCCGAUGAGUCCUUCAAACUGAACCAAAACCAGUAAACCUGCAAAUCAAUUAACAUCACAAGAGGCAAUAUGUUAGCAAAUCCAUUAAUUUGAUAUCAAUUGUAUUAGUGCCAUUACUUGUACAGUAGAUAUCAAAUGAAGUGGAAGUCACUCAAAAUCAGCACAUGUGCGUAAUAAAAGUCAGCAGCCCAUCACCUGCAAUAUAGAACAUACUUGGAGAGGAAGAUGCCCAGGACGCAAGGAGGGGAGAAGAGAAGGUUUCUCUCGCUGCCGUUCCGGCCGACGCCCCACAGGCCUCUGCUACCCUUCCAGCCGCCGCCACGCCCAC